rnacentral:lncRNA from 1 species
AUUCGGCGCUCGCGCCGCCGCGGUGCGCCUAGCGCGCCGCGAGGCCCGGGAGGCGCGCGGGCAGGGAGCCCGGGGCCAGGGAGGGGUGGCCGGGGGCCGCGACGGCGCCUUUUCCUGAGCAAACCCCGCUCCCGGGUCGCGGCGGCGCCGACCCGCGCCCAGUCCCGCCGCCUCCCCUCCUCCCUGGCUGCCGCACCGCGGUCGCCCGGCUCCGCGUGCUCCCGGGCAGCGGGACCAGAGCUCCUCCAGCUCCCACUCACUGUCGCGGGGGCGGCAAGCGGUGGGGGGAAAUUCCCGCACAGAAGAUUGGAUUUUCGUCAAGUGACAAAGGACGCUUCAAUACAAGUGGGCGGCAACCAUCACCGCUCACUAAUGGAGCGCCCCAGCGGAGCUUUCACUCCCCUCCCGGAUCCUGCAGCCGCCACCGUCGUAUUGUCACAUGUCCUUCACUCUCACCCCAGCACACACCCGGGCCCCACCCACCCCGCCCCGCCCGGCCCAGGCGGUGCCCACCGCACACCUUUGCUCCCCUCCCUGCACAGAGCGCGCACCCUGGAUUGCACACCUGCAAAAAAAAAAAAAAAAAAAAAAAAAAAAAAAAAAUACACGGGGGUCCAGACAGCCCGCCCCUAGCAGAACUCAGGAAACCCCACGUUUGCAUGCAUGGUUUUAGAAGUAAAACAGUUUGUGAUUUUGGAGGUCGGUAUCCCUGCUUAGUGUCAUUUGAGGGCUCUAUUUUACGAGAUAAAAGUCAGCAAAGGCUUUCGUGUUGUUUAAUGAGGGUCUCCAGAAGUAAAGGAAGAAGAUAAGUGCUGAAUUUAUAAGGAUUGAUGACUGGGGGGAUUUUAGGGGAGUUUUAGUUUUACUUCCGUUUAUAGAUUAGAACCAUUGGGGAUUUUUUUUUCAUUCUCUGUACACACUAAUGUAUUUUUCCUUUAAUCUUUUAGGAGUUUGAGACUUCUGCUGACUGGGUUUGUGGGUGUCCCAUGUGCCCCAGCAGUUCAAACUUAGCUCAGAAAGCAUUUUUUCUUACUAAAAAAGCAUGUUCU